GAGCUUAUCAACUGAAUGAUCCUGAGCAACUCCAUUUCUCUAAGCUUUAAUGUCCUCAUCUGUAAAAUGGAACCCUUCUUCAGAGAAUUAAAAGAAAUAAUUAACAGAAGGCCAUGAUCACAGUGUGCGGUACAUGGUAAUAGCUAAAUUGAUUUAAUUCUUUUUUUUUUUAUUCACUAUGGUGAUAACCUCUUACCACUUCUGUUAUUUGAAUGAGGCACACAUUCUCCCAACCAUAUUCCUGUCAUGGGCCUAGCUUCCUCUCCUUGGGACACUCGUGAGGUCACAAUUCCACCUUGUGUUGAGAUAUCAUGCUCUGUUUGCCUCUGGGUGUGUGUUGGCCAAUGGUCCUUGGAGGUGCCAGCGGGGAGCAUGAGCUCCUUUUUUGCUGAUUGUCUGGUGAUUUUCAUACAAGAUGAAAUUUACUUCGGGGGAUGGAACUUCUAAGAAUUUAUAACAAGCAAAGAGUGAUGAAAACAACCACAAACACAAAACCCACGGGGCACAAACAGCCUGAGACAUGACCACUGGCACUGAGCAAAAUGACUAGUUAAUGCGCCUAUAACCCUCCGGUUUUGAAGGGGCCACAGAACCAGGCAAGUUAAAAACUCCAGAAUGUUCUUAUCAUGGGUACUGAAUCAGCAUUUGGUAAUCGCUUCAGAUAUCCUUGUCUUUUGGGAAAAAUAAAAGCAGCCUUCUGAUAUAUGAUAUUCCCUCA
rnacentral:lncRNA from 12 species